UCCAAGUUCAUCUGCUUACACAUGUGUC
rnacentral:piRNA from 1 species